GACAGAGGGUGCAAACGUUGUUCGGAAUUACUGGGCGUAAAGCGCGUGUAGGCGGCUAUGCAAGUCGGAUGUGAAAGCCCUCGGCUCAACCGGGGAAGUGCACCCGAAACUGCAAAGCUAGAGUCUCGGAGAGGAUCGUGGAAUUCUCGGUGUAGAGGUGAAAUUCGUAGAUAUUAGGAAGAACACCGGUGGCGAAGGCGGCCCACUGGUCCGGUACUGACGCUGAGGUGCGAAAGCGUGGGGAGCAAACAGG
rnacentral:rRNA from 1 species